rnacentral:lncRNA from 1 species
AUGCCACCACAGCUCCCCCCGGAAGCGAGGGCGGGCUUAACGCCCUACUUCCGUUACCAUGCUCGGUUUUUCAGAAGGGGGUUGUGCGGGAAGGGGGACAGAUUUAGAGACAGGAAGCGGAAGGGCGGGACUCCGAGCCGUAGCCAAUCGUCACUGAAGGUUGAGUUUCUGUGGCCCGUUGAACGCGGGCGGGGGGAGGUGGCUUCUUCCGGCCGGUGGUGGGGUAGCUGCGUAGGUCGAAGGACACAGCCGGCGGAAUUGGUGUCUUUUGCAAGCAGUUUGCUUCCACUGUGCGGUGCUUAGGGAGCUGACGAGCAAGGUCUCCUUUAGCUGCGCUGCAGCCUUUGUCAAAGCGAGAGUGAGUGUGGCCCGGCCCCUGCAGUUCGCCAGGCCCGCAGUAACCGGGUUAGAUUUCAGUUUAUGUCCGAUCAGCCGGAAGGCCUUUCCUAGGAGGUAGCCAGAACAGAGAGAGCUGUAAACUCCUUGAAGUGCAAGAGGCUGCUUCUGGUCCCCGAGUGGCUCUCGACCUUGCCUCCUUUUACCUCGUGAUCUCACCAUUCCAGGUAGGUGUCCAGUCAGACAGGAAAAUUGCAGUUUCAAGAAACAGAGAAAGUAGGGAGGGCAGUUGGUCACUUCGGGCCUUUUCUGAAAUGCCCAUUUUCACAGGUGAAAAAAGACGUGGAAGGCCUAAUGUUUAACAAAGGUGGGCCGGUUAAUUAGAAACAAGAGCAAGACCCCUUGCUUAGGUUUCUCCAUGGGCUACCAUUUAACAAUUAGUACAUUAUUAGUCUUAAGUAAUUUCCUCCAUUAUUAUUAUGGCUUCCUAAACUUUGUAGGAUUUAAAAAGGAAUAAGGUUUCAGUGUCAGUUAUUCCGUAAAGGGUGCUCUAGCACAAGGGUUCCUGAUACUUGUCCAAAAGUAACCUGCGGUUUGCUGAAGGGUGCAGACCCAAGUGCUUGUAGGCUUUUCUCCCAUUGUUUAUUUCACCAGCAACCUUUUACUCUCCACUCCUGCUUCCAUCUCAUGUGAGCUUCACAAGAGUCUUAAGACCCAGACUCAAUUUCAGUUCCUAUGCCAUGCCCUUCCUUGCAGUCAAAAUUAGUCUUCUGUGGAACAUCCCAGCCUUCCUCCUAUAAAGUGUAAAGAGAAAUUUAAACUACUUUAGUAUUGUUUCAUUUGGACACCACAUCCUCUUUUUUUUUUUUUUUAAAUUUUUUUUUUUCAACGUUUAUUUAUUUUUGGGACAGAGAGACACAGAGCAUGAACGGGGGUGGGGCAGAGAGAGGGGAGACACAGAAUCGGA